UGGGGAGCAUCAAGCCAAAUGUGGCCCGCCAUAGCGCUAGGGCAGGGGGUUUAGGUGUGGGUGGACCCGGGGGCUCAUGGGAGGAGCUGAGGACCUGAGGCGGGGGAAAC